UGUGCAGUGGCGUAGUGGUUUGAGUGCUGGACUAUGACUCUGGUUCCAGGGUUCAAUUCACUGCUUGGCCA